ACCGAGAGGGGGUCAAGGCUCCUUCUACCGCUCCAAGACUUUUCCUUGGUCAUUCCUGGUGGCUUCGCGGGAGGGACAAGGAAAUACCAACUUUCCGCAUGCCUGAGAUGUCACCCCAAAUACAGUUAGCCGAGGGGUGGCUCUCGGCCUGUGCCCAGUACACCUCCAUACACUAGGAUCUGCAGACACCCGGGAGAUGCUGAUGAUCUUUUAGCUACUCGCUCCCACCAAGGCGCUCUAGGCUGGGGACCCCUUGGGAAGCUCCGAGAACGAUCCUUCUCUGCGAACGUAGGACUCCCGAGAAGGCAGAAGAGGAGAAGGGACCCCGCGCAGACCGAGACCCGCCGCUGGGAGUCGGAUGAGGCGAGCUGAUAGAGUGGGGUGUGUAGACCCGCUGUGGGUCCCAAGGACCAGAGGACUGAAGGUUGGCAGAUGACAGAAAUUCCUCCUGCACGCGAUUAGAGACCAUUCUUUCUUUGU